GUGAGGAAUAUUGGUCAAUGGACGAGAGUCUGAACCAGCCAAGUCGCGUGAAGGAAGACGGUUCUAUGAAUUGUAAACUUCUUUUGUGCAGGAAUAAAGUGGGUUACGUGUAACCUUUUGUAUGUACUGUACGAAUAAGGAUCGGCUAACUCCGUGCCAGCAGCCGCGGUAAUACGGAGGAUCCGAGCGUUAUCCGGAUUUAUUGGGUUUAAAGGGUGCGCAGGCGGGUUGAUAAGUCAGCGGUGAAAGUUUGCAGCUUAACUGUAAAAUUGCCGUUGAAACUGUCGAUCUUGAGUGCAAAUGAGGUAAGCGGAAUGUGUUGUGUAGCGGUGAAAUGCUUAGAUAUAACACAGAACACCGAUUGCGAAGGCAGCUUACUGGGAUGCAACUGACGCUCAUGCACGAAAGCGUGGGGAUCAAAUAGGAUUAGAAACCCCAGUAGUCC
rnacentral:rRNA from 1 species